GGGACUUGCUGAGCCAUCGCGGACCCUUGGCAGCGAGGCCGUGCCGAGCCUCUUCCCAUGUCCUGGGGGAGCCCGAAGCCAGGAGCAGCAAAACCCUCCAGGGGGUAACACAGUGGAUGAUUGAUUGUACCCGCCAGCUGGCUAAUAUCAUAAUUAACAAAGUUGCUACCAUGUCUGAGAAGUUUAAUCGAAAAAAUUGCCGGCAGUAUGAUGCCAUUGUCACAGAGAUCACAGGCGCUGCAGUGUCGACUUUUGUACUGGUGGAGCCGCAGGACUAUGAAGAUGUGCUGAGAAGUCGUUCGCUGGGAUAACUAAAGUGAGAUGUGAUUGCAGACGGCGCGCGAUUGGGCUGCAGUGGAACUGGCCAGUGGCAACCUGCCUUCGCUCUGCUCGUCACCGCCGGAGCAGCCCCGCCACGGGGACGCCGAAUUUGAGAGCAGCCGCCUGCAACAAACCUUCAGAUGCAGGAAUGUCGGCAGGGAUGCGUGGAAGCACGUCAGCGAGGUUUAGCUGGUGGAUCACAUUGUGAAAUCUGCAGCCAUGAAAGGCCCUCCAUUUACUGCACCCUUCAAAACGAAAUAUUAGCAUGGGAGGCUAAGCUGGGCAUUAUGGAGUAGUGACUUCAAGUUCUGUUUCACAAGUAACUCCAGGGCAGCACGAGGAGAGCUGUCAAUAAGAAAUGGAGGCUAAUAACGAAGGAGUCAGUGAAGGAGACCAAUGCCACGAGGGUUAUCUCGCAGCCCCAGAUGCUGGAUAAGUUGAAGGAGGCAGAAUCGCUUUUGGAUGACAUUCAGGAAGGCCUUGAAUGAUUAUUUGGCGAAGAAAAGACUAUUCUU